AGAGUUUGAUCAUGGCUCAGAUUGAACGCUGGCGGCAUGCCUUACACAUGCAAGUCGAACGGCAGCAUGAUCUAGCUUGCUAGAUUGAUGGCGAGUGGCGAACGGGUGAGUAAUACAUCGGAACGUGCCCUGUAGUGGGGGAUAACUAGUCGAAAGAUUAGCUAAUACCGCAUACGACCUGAGGGUGAAAGUGGGGGACCGCAAGGCCUCAUGCUAUGGGAGCGGCCGAUGCCUGAUUAGCUAGUUGGUGAGGUAAAGGCUCACCAAGGCGACGAUCAGUAGCUGGUCUGAGAGGACGAUCAGCCACACUGGGACUGAGACACGGCCCAGACUCCUACGGGAGGCAGCAGUGGGGAAUUUUGGACAAUGGGCGAAAGCCUGAUCCAGCAAUGCCGCGUGUGUGAAGAAGGCCUUCGGGUUGUAAAGCACUUUUGUCCGGAAAGAAAUGGCUCUGGUUAAUACCUGGGGUCGAUGACGGUACCGGAAGAAUAAGGACCGGCUAACUACGUGCCAGCAGCCGCGGUAAUACGUAGGGUCCAAGCGUUAAUCGGAAUUACUGGGCGUAAAGCGUGCGCAGGCGGUUGUGCAAGACCGAUGUGAAAUCCCCGAGCUUAACUUGGGAAUUGCAUUGGUGACUGCACGGCUAGAGUGUGUCAGAGGGGGGUAGAAUUCCACGUGUAGCAGUGAAAUGCGUAGAGAUGUGGAGGAAUACCGAUGGCG
rnacentral:rRNA from 1 species